GUGCUUGCUUCAGCAGCACAUGUACUAAAACUGGAACGAUACAGAGAAUAUUAGCAUGGCCCCUGCGCGAGGAUGACAUGCAAAUCUGUGAAGAGUUUCAUUAAAAA